rnacentral:rRNA from 1 species
AACGAACGCUGGCGGCAGGCUUAACACAUGCAAGUCGAACGGGCCCUUCGGGGUCAGUGGCAGACGGGUGAGUAACACGUGGGAACGUGCCCUUCAGUUCGGAAUAACCCAGGGAAACUUGGGCUAAUACCGGAUACGCCCCUUGGGGGAAAGAUUUAUCGCUGAAGGAUCGGCCCGCGUCUGAUUAGCUAGUUGGUGAGGUAAAGGCUCACCAAGGCGACGAUCAGUAGCUGGUCUGAGAGGAUGAUCAGCCACACUGGGACUGAGACACGGCCCAGACUCCUACGGGAGGCAGCAGUGGGGAAUAUUGGACAAUGGGCGCAAGCCUGAUCCAGCCAUGCCGCGUGAGUGAUGAAGGCCUUAGGGUUGUAAAGCUCUUUCGGCGGGGACGAUAAUGACGGUACCCGCAGAAGAAGCCCCGGCUAACUUCGUGCCAGCAGCCGCCGUAACAC